rnacentral:lncRNA from 1 species
GCAGCGCGGUGACCGCAGGCCUGACGGUUACCCUGACCGGGUUCUGAAACAGCCCGGGGCUUUCAGCACAGAUGAGAAGUCUAAAAAUUUCCCUUUUCAUUUCCUCUCUUGUGUGACUUUGUCAUUUUUAAAAAAACUGGUCACAGAAAAGGGAAUUUUGCCCAUGCUUUUAAGGAGUUUAUCUCGACUGAGUAGCUUCCCCGCCACUCCUCUAAAAUCCCUCCUCAAAAACCCCAAGUUAAAAAAAAAAAAGAUCUAUUCUUGUAGAUUUUUUUUGUGUGGGUCUAUGUUUCAUUCAUCUGCUUUCAGGCUGGAUUUAUAACAAGCAGAACUUUUAAAACGCUUCAGGAAAAAGAGGACCUUAGAACUGAAGGAGCAAGAUUCCAACAUCACACUGUUUUUGUUAGCUGUGUGUGUGUGUUUCCUGUGUAUCCAAAAGACAGAGGAGAUGAAAAAGCAAAAGAAAAGAAACGAGGAAUCAGAUUGGAAAGAAGGUUUCUCCAGGACGUCACCUGUAUGAGGUACACAGUGUGAUGACACACUCUGUGCUUUUCCUACUUGUGUCCACGUGAGUGUCUGGAGCUGCCCUUCAAGGAGAGCAAUAGAUGAAUGAUUCUGCCUUCCCGCUGAGAGGGAUGUGGGUCCUGCGGAUGGUCGGGGUGAAGCUUCCUCUCCUUUCUGCUGACAGCACUUCCUCAUUAAAUGCAGAGAUCUGCAAAAAGGGAAAAUAAAAACACAAGAAGAAAAAUGAGGCAUCAAA